GAUACCACUACCAGCAUUAAUAGAUUGAUGGGAAACAUUUACGCGAAUACUUUUAUAAAUAUUGAAAGCAAUAAUAAUCUUUUACAUAAUACUUAAUAAUCUUUCGUUUAAAAAAUUUUAAUAGUUAUUUCCGCAUCACAAAUAGUUAUAUUCGGCAACCUUCGAGGAAAGUUUAUGCUUGGCGCCAAAAGAAGCCGCCAAAACCAGUCUAGAUUGGUCUCCUCUCUUGCAGUAUUCGUACAUUUUGUUAUGGAUUCUUGUCAAUAAACUGCUGUAACGCAGGAAAACGUAAAGUUUUUCAAAGUGUCUCCAGUUGCCGAGCUUUAUACGAGACUCUUAACCACGAUCACUAUUGUUGAAGGUUAUUAUGGCUGCUAAUGCCACGCCAUCAGCCCACAAUGUUUAUUGCCUCCUGGUGUUGUUUGAUUUUAAAGAACAGCCACCUGGAAUUGCUUCGGUGUCUGCAAUUUUCAAACCAACACUCUGCGAAGAUGAAAAGGAUGUGCUGGCUCUUUUGACUUUAUGGAUUGAAAGUAAAAGACAAGUAGUUGUAAGAUGGCCAAAAGGUGACUCGUCCCAUUGGAACCUUAAGUUAUAUCUUAACAACAUUGAAGAUUCUGACCACAGAUUGGGUGUUCCUGUAUGCUUUUCAGGUAAGUUUGACAAACAUUUAGCCAAAAUAACAUUUCAUUUCUUUAUUUCUAAAUGUUGUUGGGGUUCGUAUAAAAAAAAUAUUUGUAAAACUGUCUUAAUAUUUCUAAUAUU